CUGGACUUUUAAUUAGGUAAAAUCAUUAACACUGUGUGUGUGUGUAUGUGUAUACGUUAGUAGAAGUAAAUAAAAUGUUUGUUUCCUGUAGGAAUGCAAUAAUUUGUAACAUUGUUCAAAAGCACAAUGUACAUAUAUACCAAACGUGUAUUGUUUGGUUUAUGUAUUGAUUAAUAAUUAAAAAUUGUAAAAUGUAAUUUGAUCUAAUAGGCCAACGUUCGUCAGGUCACGUUUAUUGUAACACGCAUUUUUGGUACAUUGCGUUGCGAGCAAGCAGGUGUAGGUAGGUAUAUGUAUUCUUUAAUGAAAGUAUCGAUAAGUAGUUACAUAGUUUAUUGGAUGUGAAAUGGAUAAGCCGAGCAAACAAGGUUGUUCACCAACAAUAGAUAUCAGACACGGCGCAAUCGUCAGUGCACGUUAGCGUGUUUGGCUCAAAAACAUAACCUAUUGGAAACAACGGUUGCAGUGUGUCACAUGUUUAGGUUAAUCACUAAUGAGUUAUUUGUAUUUUAUUAUAUUAGAUAAACAGAAGUUUACAAAGUAAGAUUUUUUUUCUAAUAAUAACUUCUAACAGUAAUUUGUAUGUUUACAUUUUGUGAUGUUUAAUCAGUGACAAAUCAUUUUUAAGUCAAUUUGUUUUGUUUUAGCUUCAGCCUACGAAAUAAAGCUAUUUUUAAUACUUUGUUUGUUUUUUAAAGUACGUUUCGACUAAACAGGUAUGUAGGCGUCUAGUUUCAAAACCGGCUAAACGAAAUUUUUGAACAUUUUCACAAACGACAAAUAAUUUCUUCAGAUGGGCGAUUUUAAAACCAACCAACUUGGUCAAGUCUCAUGCUUGGACUCUUAGAUACUUUUUAAAAACUUUAAAUUAACUACAAAAAAAAAAAAACUAAGCUCAGUAUAAUCCAGUACAAUAAAAAU